AGUGAACGCUGGCGGUAGGCCUAACACAUGCAAGUCGAACGGCAGCACAGUAAGAGCUUGCUCUUACGGGUGGCGAGUGGCGGACGAGUGAGGAAUACAUCGGAAUCUACUUUUUCGUGGGGGAUAACGUAGGGAAACUUACGCUAAUACCGCAUACGACCUACGGGUGAAAGCAGGGGAUCUUCGGACCUUGCGCGAUUGAAUGAGCCGAUGUCGGAUUAGCUAGUUGGCGGGGUAAAGGCCCACCAAGGCGACGAUCCGUAGCUGGUCUGAGAGGAUGAUCAGCCACACUGGAACUGAGACACGGUCCAGACUCCUACGGGAGGCAGCAGUGGGGAAUAUUGGACAAUGGGCGCAAGCCUGAUCCAGCCAUACCGCGUGGGUGAAGAAGGCCUUCGGGUUGUAAAGCCCUCUUGUUGGGAAAGAAAAGCAGCAGGUUAAUACCCCGCUGUUCUGACGGUACCCAAAGAAUAAGCACCGGCUAACUUCGUG
rnacentral:rRNA from 1 species